rnacentral:rRNA from 1 species
UACAGAGGGUGCAAGCGUUAAUCGGAGUUACUGGGCGUAAAGGGCGCGUAGGCGGUUAAUUAAGUUUGAUGUGAAAUCUCUCGGCUCAACCGGGAGAGGUUGUCCGAUACUGUUAGACUUGAGGGCAGUAGAGGGUGGUGGAAUUCCGGGUGUAGUGGUGAAAUGCGUAGAGAUCCGGAGGAACACCAGUGGCGAAAGCGGCCACCUGGACUGCACCUGGCGCUGAAACGCGAAAGCUAGGGGAGCGAACGGG